CCUACGGGGUGCAGCAGUGGGGGAUAUUGGACAAUGGGGGAAACCCUGAUCCAGCGACGCCGCGUGAGUGAAGAAGUAUUUCGGUAUGUAAAGCUCUAUCAGCAGGGAAGAAAGAAAUGACGGUACCUGAGUAAGAAGCCCAGGCUAACUACGUGCCAGCAGCAGCGGUAAUACGUAGGGGGCAAGCGUUAUCCGGAAGUACUGGGUGUAAAGGGAGCGUAGACGGUAAUGCAAGUCUGGAGUGAAAGGCGGGGGCGCAACCCCCGGACUGCUCUGGAAACUGUGUAACUGGAGUGCAGGAGAGGCAGGCGGAAUUCCUAGUGUAGCGGUGAAAUGCGUAGAUAUUAGGAAGAACACCAGUGGCGAAGGCGGCCUGCUGGACUGUAACUGACGUUGAGGCUCGAAAGCGUGGGGAGCAAACAGGAUUAGAUACCCGGGUAGUC
rnacentral:rRNA from 1 species